UCCUGGAUUCUUGAUAACUUUAGUCUUUUCCUUCUCCCAUUAACCUGGGCAUGAAAAAUUUUUGUGUUUCUAUCACCAUCUUUAAACCACAACAUGCCUGCUUUUUGUUUCCAGAAUAAUUCUUCGAAUGCAAGAUAUUUAAGCAAUUCAGCUUGAACCUGUCGUAAUCUUUGUCUAUUUCUCUGAGUAGGAUUAAUUUCAAAUUGAUUUUCAUGAAUUAGUACCACCUCCUCUAGACUUGCAAUCUUCUUGAAAAUAUCUCCAUAAGUAGCUCUGCUCCAAGUAGAAAGUGCAUGUUUAAGCUUUUUUAACUUGAAGUUAAAAUUGCUGAAAGGAUUUGCACUAAAAUCACAUUCCAGGUCUCUUUCACUACAUCUUUAAAAGAUCGAAAGGAUUUGCACUAAAAUCACCAUUCCAUGUCUCUUUCACUACAUCUUUAAAAGAUUCAUGCUUUAUUCAAAAAUUAAGAAAUCUUUCAGAUUUCUUAACUGGGGAAUUAUUUAUAUUACAUUUGAGCAGCACUGGGCAAUGGUCAGAGCCUAUUUUGGACAAAUGAGUUACCUCCAAUCCAGGAAAGGUCUGUUG
rnacentral:lncRNA from 1 species